rnacentral:rRNA from 1 species
UACGGGGGGGGCAAGCGUUGUUCGGAAUUACUGGGCGUAAAGGGCGCGUAGGCGGCCUUCUAAGUCGAACGUGAAAUCCCCGGGCUCAACCCGGGAACUGCGUCCGAUACUGGAAGGCUUGAAUCCGGGAGAGGGAUGUGGAAUUCCAGGUGUAGCGGUGAAAUGCGUAGAUAUCAGGAGGAAUACCGAUGGCGAAGGCAGGUCUCUGGGCUGACACUGACGCUCAUGCACGAAAGCGUGGGGAGCAAACAGG